rnacentral:rRNA from 1 species
UACGUAGGGUGCGAGCGUUAAUCGGAAUUACUGGGCGUAAAGCGUGCGCAGGCGGUUUUGUAAGCCGGAUGUGAAAUCCCCGGGCUUAACCUGGGAAUGGCAUUCGGGACUGCAAGGCUGGAGUGCGGCAGAGGAGACUGGAAUUCCUGGUGUAGCAGUGAAAUGCGUAGAGAUGUGGAGGAACACCGAUGGCGAAGGCAGCCUCCUGGGCCAGCACUGACGCUCAUGCACGAAAGCGUGGGGAGCAAACAGG